rnacentral:rRNA from 1 species
UACAGAGGGUGCAAGCGUUGUUCGGAAUUAUUGGGCGUAAAGCGCGUGUAGGCGGCUUUGCAAGUCGGGUGUGAAAGCCCUCAGCUCAACUGAGGAAGUGCGCCCGAAACUGCAGAGCUUGAGUGCCGGAGAGGGUGGCGGAAUUCCCCAAGUAGAGGUGAAAUUCGUAGAUAUGGGGAGGAAAACCGGUGGCGAAGGCGGCCACCUGGACGGUAACUGACGCUGAGACGCGAAAGCGUGGGGAGCAAACAGG